UACGGGGGGGGCAAGCGUUGUUCGGAAUUACUGGGCGUAAAGGGCUCGUAGGUGGCCAACUAAGUCAUACGUGAAAUCCCUCGGCUUAACCGGGGAACUGCGUCUGAUACUGGAUGGCUUGAGGUUGGGAGAGGGAUGCGGAAUUCCAGGUGUAGCGGUGAAAUGCGUAGAUAUCUGGAGGAACACCGGUGGCGAAAGCGGCUCACUGGACCGUCACUGACGCUGAGGUGCGAAAGCUAGGGUAGCAAACGGG
rnacentral:rRNA from 1 species